GGAAGGAUCAUUACUGAGUUCAUGCCCUCACGGGUAGAUCUCCCACCCUUGAAUAUCUAAACCUUUGUUGCUUUGGCGGGCCGCUUCGGCUACCGGCUCCGGCUGGUGAGUGCCCGCCAGAGAACCUCAAACUCUGAAUUACAGUGUCGUCUGAGUACUAUAAAAUAGUUAAAACUUUCAACAACGGAUCUCUUGGUUCUGGCAUCGAUGAAGAACGCAGCGAAAUGCGAUAAGUAAUGUGAAUUGCAGAAUUCAGUGAAUCAUCGAAUCUUUGAACGCACAUUGCGCCCCUUGGUAUUCCGGGGGGCAUGCCUGUUCGAGCGUCAUUAUAACCCUCAAGCCUAGCUUGGUGUUGGAGCAUGCUACCUCAGCAGCUCUUAAAAUCAGUGGCAGUGCUCUCCGGCUCUAAGCGUAGUAAUUCUUCUCGCUAUAGAACCCGGGGGGGACGCGCCAGAACCCCCAACUUUCUAUGGUUGACCUCGGAUCAGGUAGGGAUACCCGCUGAACUUAAGCAUAUCAAUAAGCGGAGGAAAAGAAACCAACAGGGAUUGCCUCAGUAACGGCGAGUGAAGCGGCAAAAGCUCAAAUUUGAAAUCUGGCUCUUUUAGGGUCCGAGUUGUAAUUUGUAGAAGAUGCUUUGGGUGUGGCUCCGGUCUAAGUUCCUUGGAACAGGACGUCAUAGAGGGUGAGAAUCCCGUAUGUGAUCGGUGGCCUUCGCCCGUGUAAAGCUCUUUCGACGAGUCGAGUUGUUUGGGAAUGCAGCUCAAAAUGGGUGGUAUAUUUCAUCUAAAGCUAAAUAUUGGCCAGAGACCGAUAGCGCACAAGUAGAGUGAUCGAAAGAUGAAAAGCACUUUGGAAAGAGAGUUAAACAGUACGUGAAAUUGUUGAAAGGGAAGCGCUUGCAAUCAGACUUGCAUGUAGUUGAUCAUCUAGUGUUCUCACUGGUGCACUCUGCUAUAUUCAGGCCAGCAUCGGUUUUGGUGGUUGGAUAAAGGCCUUGGGAAUGUAGCUCCUCUCGGGGAGUGUUAUAGCCCUCGGUGCAAUGCAGCCUACCGGGACUGAGGACCGCGCUUCGGCUAGGAUGCUGGCGUAAUGGUUGUAAGCGACCCGUCUUGAAACACGGACCAAGGAGUCUAACAUCUAUGCGAGUGUUUGGGUGUCAAACCCAUACGCGUAAUGAAAGUGAACGGAGGUGAGAACCCUUUAGGGUGCAUCAUCGACCGAUCCUGAUGUCUUCGGAUGGAUUUGAGUAAGAGCAUAGCUGUUGGGACCCGAAAGAUGGUGAACUAUGCGUGAAUAGGGUGAAGCCAGAGGAAACUCUGGUGGAGGCUCGCAGCGGUUCUGACGUGCAAAUCGAUCGUCAAAUUUGCGCAUAGGGGCGAAAGACUAAUCGAACCAUUGGAAUAACUACUAGGUGGUUAAGAGGCUGCUACGGCGGCUUAGUCUGUUCUACAGGCGACAUUGUCAAAUUGUUCGGGGACCUCCCGCGAAAUCUCAGGCUACCGCAGCCCGCCCGAAAGGGGGGUGCGCACCGGGUUAACGACCCUGGGGAUGGUAACAACGCCUGGGUAGGGACUAUCCGCAGCCAAAUCCUACGGGCUCUACGGGGCCUACGGAUGCAGUUCACAGACUUGAAGGCAGUGGGCUUUAAACAAAGCUUAAGAUAAAGUCGAACCCCCGGGAGACCGGGUGAGUAGGAGGAGGGUACCUUAGGUACUCAGAGCCUACCGUGGCCUCCGGGCCUGGGGCAGCGCUAGUAGCUGGUUCCUGC
rnacentral:misc_RNA from 1 species